rnacentral:rRNA from 1 species
CCAGACUCCUACGGGAGGCAGCAGUGGGGAAUAUUGGACAAUGGACCAAGAGUCUGAUCCAGCAAUUCUGUGUGCACGAUGAAGUUUUUCGGAAUGUAAAGUGCUUUCAGUUGGGAAGAAAAAAAUGACGGUACCAACAGAAGAAGUGACGGCUAAAUACGUGCCAGCAGCCGCGGUAAUACGUAUGUCACAAGCGUUAUCCGGAUUUAUUGGGCGUAAAGCGCGUCUAGGUGGUUAUAUAAGUCUGAUGUGAAAAUGCAGGGCUCAACUCUGUAUUGCGUUGGAAACUGUAUAACUAGAGUACUGGAGAGGUAAGCGGAACUACAAGUGUAGAGGUGAAAUUCGUAGAUAUUUGUAGGAAUGCCGAUGGGGAAGCCAGCUUACUGGACAGAUACUGACGCUAAAGCGCGAAAGCGUGGGUAGCAAACAGGAUUAGAUACCCUGGUAGUCCACGCCGUAAACGAUGAUUACUAGGUGUUGGGGGUCGAACCUCAGCGCCCAAGCAAACUUCGGAAACAGUUAGGACCAGGAGUACGUCAAGA